UACGGAGGGUGCGAGCGUUGUCCGGAAUCAUUGGGCGUAAAGGGCGCGUAGGCGGCUUCUCAAGCGUGCGGUGAAAGCUCGGAGCUCAACUCCGAGUCGGCCGUGCGAACUGGGCUCACUGGAGCAUAGUAGAGGCAGGUGGAAUUCCGGGUGUAGCGGUGGAAUGCGUAGAGAUCCGGAAGAACACCGGUGGCGAAGGCGGCCUGCUGGGCUAUGGCUGACACUGAGGCGCGACAGCGUGGGGAGCAAACAGG
rnacentral:rRNA from 1 species